UACGUAGGGUGCGAGCGUUGUCCGGAAUUAUUGGGCGUAAAGGGCUCGUAGGCGGUUUGUCGCGUCGGGAGUGAAAACCCAGGGCUUAACUCUGGGCUUGCUUUCGAUACGGGCAGACUAGAGGUAUGCAGGGGAGAACGGAAUUCCUGGUGUAGCGGUGAAAUGCGCAGAAUAUCAGGAGGAACACCGGUGGCGAAGGCGGUUCUCUGGGCAUUACCUGACGCUGAGGAGCGAAAGUGUGGGGAGCGAACAGG
rnacentral:rRNA from 1 species